GGAAACGGGGAUGGAUUCUUGAAGUUGGUUGGCGUGAAGCUUCCCGACACUUCCAUAUCCGUAGUGGACAAGAGUCUGAGUCUCAAGGAAUGCGAGAGAGAAUGCUUGAAGAACUGCUCUUGCACUGCCUACGCCUCUGCAGAUAUUACCGGCGGAGGCAGUGGGUGUGUUGCUUGGUUUGGCAACUUGACGGACAUUCGGUAUUUCAAUGAUGGCGGCGAUGAUUUAUACCUACGUGUGGAUGCAGUGGAGCUAGCUGCACAAGCAAGAAAAGAUAAAGGAAUUCUUCACAACAAGAGGAUAGUGGGGAUUCUUACGGUGUCUCUUGUUGUGAGUGUACUGUCUCUGCUUCUCUUUGCUAUAUGUGUAUACCGUUUGAGGAAGAAGAAGAGAAAAGGUAAAA